rnacentral:rRNA from 1 species
AGAUAAGCCAUGCAUGUCUAAGUAUAGCAACUAUACGGUGAAACUGCGAAUGGCUCAUUAAAUCAGUUAUCGUUUAUUUGAUAGUACCUUACUACAUGGAUAACCGUGGUAAUUCUAGAGCUAAUACAUGCUAAAAACCUCGACUUCGGAAGGGGUGUAUUUAUUAGAUAAAAAACCAAUGCCCUUCGGGGCUCCUUGGUGAAUCAUAAUAACUUAACGAAUCGCAUGGCCUUGCGCCGGCGAUGGUUCAUUCAAAUUUCUGCCCUAUCAACUUUCGAUGGUAGGAUAGUGGCCUACCAUGGUAUCAACGGGUAACGGGGAAUUAGGGUUCGACUCCGGAGAGGGAGCCUGAGAAACGGCUACCACAUCCAAGGAAGGCAGCAGGCGCGCAAAUUACCCAAUCCCGACACGGGGAGGUAGUGACAAUAAAUACUGAUACAGGGCUCUUUUGGGUCUUGUAAUUGGAAUGAGUACAAUUUAAAUCCCUUAACGAGGAACAAUUGGAGGGCAAGUCUGGUGCCAGCAGCCGCGGUAAUUCCAGCUCCAAUAGCGUAUAUUAAAGUUGUUGCAGUUAAAAAGCUCGUAGUUGAACCUUGGGCCUGGCUGGCCGGUCCGCCUCACCGCGUGUACUGGUCCGGCCGGGCCUUUCCUUCUGGGGAACCUCAUGCCCUUCACUGGGCGUGUUGGGGAACCAGGACUUUUACUUUGAAAAAAUUAGAGUGUUCAAAGCAGGCCUUUGCUCGAAUACAUUAGCAUGGAAUAAUAGAAUAGGACGUGUGGUUCUAUUUUGUUGGUUUCUAGGACCGCCGUAAUGAUUAAUAGGGAUAGUCGGGGGCAUCAGUAUUCAAUCGUCAGAGGUGAAAUUCUUGGAUUGAUUGAAGACUAACUACUGCGAAAGCAUUUGCCAAGGAUGUUUUCAUUAAUCAGUGAACGAAAGUUAGGGGAUCGAAGACGAUCAGAUACCGUCGUAGUCUUAACCAUAAACUAUGCCGACUAGGGAUCGGACGGUGUUAGUAUUUUGACCCGUUCGGCACCUUACGAGAAAUCAAAGUUUUUGGGUUCUGGGGGGAGUAUGGUCGCAGGUGAUAG